rnacentral:rRNA from 1 species
CUGGCUCAGGAUGAACGCUAGCGGCAGGCCUAACACAUGCAAGUCGCGGGGCAGCACAGGUAGCAAUACCUGGUGGCGACCGGCGCACGGGUGCGUAACGCGUAUGCAACCUGCCCCCAUCAGGGGAAUAGCCCGCCGAAAGGCGGAUUAAUGCCCCAUAGGCCCAGGGCGCCGCAUGGCGCUAUGGGUAAAGCUCCGGCGGAUGGGGAUGGGCAUGCGUGCCAUUAGCUAGUUGGGGCGGCAACGGCGCACCAAGGCGACGAUGGCUAGGGGGUCUGAGAGGAUGGUCCCCCACACUGGUACUGAGACACGGACCAGACUCCUACGGGAGGCAGCAGUGAGGAAUAUUGGUCAAUGGGCGGAAGCCUGAACCAGCCAUGCCGCCGUGCAGGAUGACGGCCCUACGGGUUGUAAGCUGCUUUUCCCCGGGAAGAAUAAGCCCCUCGUGAGGGGUGAUGCCGGUACCGGGGGAAUAAGGAUCGGCUAACUCCGUGCCAGCAGCAGC